AAAGAACUGAUCUCCUCCAUCAGAGAAAGUUUUCCAUUAAAAAAUGUUAGAUAUGACUGGAAAAAUGUAGUUAAGAAUUUGACUCGUGAAUGGUGCCAAAAAAACUACCGAUACUGAGUCAAGAUGAUGCAUUAAAGUUCUCAUAGGCACUGCUAUUGGUUCCUAUAAGUCUUCGAGAAGAAGCUUUUAAUAAAAUUUUGGAAGAAGCUGAAAAAAUUGAAGAUGCUUAUAAAGAAAUGCCAAAAUAUUUAAGAUAUUUACAGAGAUUGGACAGAAUUUUAAAAGUUCCGGACCAAUAAGAGUGAUAAAUAUCACAGGAACUUUCGCUCAAGACUUGAUCGAGCAGUGUGGAACUGGGGACCUAUCGAUAUUUACAUUAUUAUCGACAAUGAAAAGUGCCCUGCAAAACGGGUCACUGCUCUUAAAAUCUACUCAGUCUAGUACUCCAGUGAUUGAUCAUUUCUCAAAUCAGCACAUAAGUGAUUUAAGAAAUUUAGUUGAAACAGGACAAAUAACAAUCGAAACUUUCUUGAUCGAAGUGAUAGAGCUAUAUAUGAACGAGUUAAUUUCACAAUUUAAAUCGAGUC